rnacentral:rRNA from 1 species
UACGCGAGCUGGGUUCAGACCGUCGUGAGACAGGUUGGUCUUUAUCUGCUGCAGGCGUUUGGUAUUUGAGGGAAGUCGACCCUAGUACGAGAGGACCGGGUUGAACGAACCUCUGGUCUACCGGCUUUGGCACCAGCUGAAUUGCCGGGUAGCUAAGUUCGGAAGGGAUAAGCGCUGAAAGCAUCUAAGUGCGAAGCCCCUCCCAAGAUUAGAUACCAGGUGUCUUCGGACACCGAGAUCCCUGGAAGAUGACCAGGUUGAUAGGCUCUAGGUGUAAGCGUGGCAACGCGUUUAGCCGAGGAGUACUAAUAGAUCUACAAUAACCGACCA